UUUACGUGUGUAGAGAUCCCAAAGAUGUGUUUGUUUCACUUUGGCAUUUCUCGAACAAACUGAGGCCCGUGGGUAGUGGAACCAUGUCACUUGACGAAGCGUUCGAUAAGUUCUGCCGGGGAGUGAAUACGUCCGGACCCUUUUGGGAUCACGUACUAGGGUUUUGGAAGGAGAGCUUAAAGAGGCCUGAAAGUGCAUUUUUCAUCAAGUUUGAGGAAAUGAAACAAGAGCCCGCUCUUCAUCUGAGGAGGCUGGCCAAGUUCUUGGGGUGCCCAUUUUCUCCGGAAGAAGAGACACAUGGAGUUGUGGAUGGUAUCUUAAGGUUGUGUAGUUUUGAAAAUUUAAGCAAUUUGGAUGUGAAUAAAAGUGGGAUAUUGUCGUCUGGUAUGGAGAAAAGCGCAUUCUUUAGGAAAGGUGAAGUUGGAGAUUGGAUGAAUUAUUUGACCACUGAGAUGGUGAAAAAACUAGACUCUAUUACUCAAGAGAAGUUUCAUGGUUCCGGAUUAAAGUUCUAGGGUUUGCAUCUUUUUUCUUUCUGUGUGAGUCUUUCUCUUUGUGGGUGAGUUUUUCUUCUUGUGCGAGCGAGUUCUUCAAAUUCUAGUAAAUCAUUUUGCCGCCGGCCCUAGCCAUGACUUGAUUCGGUGGCAGCUCUUUUCCUCUUUUUUCUUCUUGUUUUUCUCCUCUGCUGCUCUCUGUUUUCCGGCCCAUUGUUUCCUUUUGUAUCCACUCCCUUGUGCCUUUGAUUUAACCAGCCUCUGCGCGCAAUCGGAAAGCUUCUUUUUCCGAUUUCCCCUUUCUUCUGUUCCCACUUAUCUAUCCACCCUCACGCAUCUGCUCAAACCAAUUUCUUUCUCUCCCACUUGGAUUCGUCCUCUCCCCACUCCUCAAUUGCGUCAUUCCGCAAUCAUUUUGUUUAGUCGUGUUUCACGGCCAUAUUAGAUUGUGCGUAGUGCUUCGGCUCGGAUUUUACACCACCAAUUUCCUCCUGUGUGUUGAUCUCGACACUGCUACCUGUUGGGGUAGUUUCCUUUCCUUCUCUUGGUGGCUGCUGUUCCAACAUGUGGGGUGUUUGCUAGAGGAUGAUGAAAUUUAUAUUAUUUAAUUUUUGUUUCAUGGCUUGGUUAGUUAUUAUCUCGACGGCGGAAGAGGAUCCAUGCAUUUAGGGUUUCUUUGUGUGUUUUUCUGUGUAGGGCUCACCUUUGGGUUGGGAUUUUCUUUUGUAGUUGUUUUGGAGGUCAUAAUGUUGUAGUGUGCUUUGUGUGUUUUUUGGGCCUCCACUCUUGUAUGUGUGGUGUGUUGGUAAUAAAAUGUCACAUUUUGAACCAAAAAAAAAAGUCCUACUGUUUAUGACAUCUUUAUUUAUUUGAGCGGGAAAUCAUUAAUGAGUAAGAGAAAGAAGGAAAGUGUAUGGGAUCAACUAGUUCCCUAGUAGUAAUAAUCCUUGACGUUACACAUAUCAACUAAUUACCUAGUAGUAACUCAUCUCUAUUUUUUCAUGUGUAGCAUAGGAGAAAUCUGGAAUUAGAAUAAUCUCAGUACGCAUGUUUAAUAAACGUUGGAAUAAGUUGCUAAUAGAAUGGUUGAAUUAUUAGUUCCAUAUAAGUAAAGAUAAACUAGUGCUUAAUAUUUUUCAUCAUCAUCUCUGUAAAUCUAUAAUCCUACUCUAAUGACUAAAACUACCACCAGUUCCACCUUCCUAGGAAGUUUGAUCACUACAAAAAAAGACAAUAGUCACGCUUUUGAAAGUAUCGAAGGAGUGAAGGAGUGAACGUAACUUGAAUCACCAACUCUGGCUCUCUUUCUCGCUCCCUCAGACUUUUCCUUCUUCGAUUUGCAUCAUAUCUGUUUUUUGUUCUCGGUUUUAAUUUGAAUCUUUGAAAUUUGACUUAUAUAUUUGAGAUCUCAUCUUGUUGUUCAUGGAUUUGACUUUUCAAGAGCUUUUUUUUUUUUUUUUCAAUUUACCAACCCCAACAUGCAAUUUUAGGAUUAUUAAUACCAUUCAUCGCUUUCAUCUCCAUCCAUCGUUACCUGCUGUAUUCUUUCUUCCUAAAACUCAAGCAUAAAUUCGGACAUUAAUAUUAAAACAAAGAAUAAAUGGAAGCUUAGAAGUCAAAAAGCAUAACACCCGCCCCCCCCCCCCCCCCCCCCACAUAAAAAAAAAAGGAUGUUCAGUUGCUUCAUCAAAUACUAUCCAUUGUUUCACAAAAAAAGGUGAAAGGGAAAACGUCGUCAUUUUGUCAAAUAGUUAGAAGGCUAAAUACAGCACAAACAACAUUAAUUCAUCCUUAAACUACUAGCUUACAUGGGCUUCCUUCAAAGCUCGAAUCCUUUGCACUCCUUGACAGAGCUGGGAAUAUAUACUUUCAGGGAAUCUUUUGUAAAAAUCUCAGUCUCCAGGAAUUUCUUUAGUAUAUAACUUACCUUUGGCAUACAACAAUUUGUACGCUACAUAUUAAUGAUUUAUUGAAAAGAAAAGAAAAAAUUGGUGAAAUGCAAAUACAAAGGAAAAGCAAAACCUAUAAGGGAAAGUACGUAUGAAAUAUAAAAAAUGUUAUUCUUAUCAUCUAUGUGUACUAUCAUUUGUAUCAUUUUUUUAAUAGAGAUAAGACUACACAUGUUGGCGGAUUCUAUUUUUAUUAGAAAGAUACUACAAAUAGAUGAUAAGUAUGGAAUUGAAUUCUCUCCUAAGCCCAAGGAAAGGAUCCUCCUGACCAAAGAUCUUGGACCAUUGGAUUUUCAUCAAACGACUAUAAUAUAACUUUAAAGAGACCUCCCUGUUUGUAACCAUUGAAUAAAAAUUCUAACAAUCCAAAAACCUUGGUCAGGAGAAGAGGAUCCAAUUCCGAUAAGUAUAAUAUGACUCAGACAAAUAUUACGGUCCGCAGAUUCUGCAUAGAUCCAGAAAGGAUACCAGUUCCAAUAAAAGUGGAUAAAGCUGCAGAUGUGGGCGCAAUAAAGUGGAAAUCUCACCUCAAUAUCCUAAACCCUAGAAUAAAAAAAAUUCUCUAUGGAUAUCUCUUAACACUUAGCUAAUUCCAAACAAGUGCACAUCGUAAUGCGAAUAUCCGGAAAUGAAUAAAGUUUUUAAUUUUUAUGGAAAUGAACUUGUGUUUCUUGCAACAAAUACGCUCUGGGUCUCUUUGAUAAUUUGACAUAAAAUACCCACACCACCAAGUCAAUUCUUAGUCGCUUUGGUCCGUGCUCCCUCCUUGCCAAUUUCGGCUACGGGGGUGUGGCUAGGGGUGGAUGGGUGUAGUAGAUGGCGGAUCGACGGGGUAGAUUUUGUUGGGCUCUUGUACGUAUCGUUUAUGUGGCAUCAAAGUAUUGGUUGAGUGGGUUCAUUAUGUGCCAUAUCAAUAAAUUAACAGAAAAUUCACCGAAUUUGGAUAACAAAGAUUACAUGGAUGUGAGAUAGUUAAAUUCUGUAAGAUUAACUCAGUGUUGUUGUACUGUAUAUUAACUACAUUGAGGAAGAAUCAAAGAGCGAAAAAGAAUGUAGGAAAAUGAAAAACUUGAGAUAGAAACAAUUGAGAGAGAGAAAGAAUAAAUUGUAUGAAUUGUAUUUCAGACUUAAUGAAUUGAAUCCUUACAAUUACAUAGCUUUUAUACACACAUAUAUCCAGCUUAACAACUUUAGUAUGAUAUGGCAGCUUCACUAACUAGCCAAUGUUGAGCUGUCAUUUAUUGAUACUCAAAACUAUAUUGGGACGGGAUGUUUUUAUGCACGUAUUAGACAUACAUAUAUUGGUACGUGAUGUUUUUAUUCACGUAUUAGAUUUAACGCUAGCUUUCGUAUAAGCACAUUCUACAUCCCUUUCUCAACGAUAUGUAUUUUUAUGUUAUCAGAAGAGUAACUCAAUGUCAUUGUACUACAUCUUUCUGUAGCUUGCUUCGGUGUUCAUGUAAUAGGAUCAGAGUAUAUGCCGCUACUUGGCUCCGACGAUUCAACUUCCUUCUUAUUGGCAGUGCCCGAUGUUGAAAUAUCAUGUAAUUCCUGAUUGUCACAUUCUCAUUCUGACUAAUUAAUUACUUAUAAUCUAUGAGUGUUCUAGUUAAUUUAGGAGAAGAGUUCUUGAUUUCGACAAGGGUUGUAUUUCAAGGAGCUUAUAUAGGCACUUGCAUUUUGUUCGGAUGUAUUUGCGGUUCAUGUAAGAACUUGUUAACAAACAAACACCAAGACCAAAACAUGAACCACAAACAAAAGGAAACCAACCCAGUUAUGUGCACAUAAAUAACCAGAAAGGAAAACAUACCUGCAGCUGCACCAGAACUCGUAGCCAUUGCAGCGAACUUUCAGUGAUCCUUCUCUUCUCUUGCAGAUUGUCAAGAGCUCGACUCACAGAUAGGUUAUGGUCCAAUAUGAGCGUUAGUUCUGUGAGAAGAGAGGUCACUAUAUAUAUACAUAUAGACUUCACCAAAAUAGAUCAGGAUUUCCUAUCAAAAUCCUCAUCGGAAACAAACACUUGUUUCCUGAUGCUAACCAAAAUCCUUUUCAGUCAAGGAUCAGCAUUCCUUUCAUCAAUAGGACUUUCUAUCCAAAUUGAAUACCUAUAACCUGUCCUAAAACUUCUCUAUCUCAUACUCAUAUUCUUACAUUCUCCCACUUGAGUAUGAGAACAGUUUCAAGUACUCAGUUUAUCCAAUCAUACUUAGAUAGAAGUGAUCACUAACAGAUAAUCAUCUCAAAUUAUUAUAAAGGUGAUCACAUAAUUAAGUCAUUCACCAACACACAAAUACAUAGACAUAACCAGCUUACAUAAACCAAAACAAUGAAUUUAUAAUUGCCUCUGCAACAUAAAAUACAGAUUUAACUUACAAAUCACAAUGUCCAGUUCAUGUUCAUAGCAAUGUAUCUAAGCUCAAAAGUAAACCAAGACAUCUGCUCCCACUCAUAUAGCCACCAAAUCUUUUGGAUAACAAAAGUUUAACCUCACAUACAUCUUACCCAUGCAUUUUAAAGUAUUGAACUUAAGAAUCUUUUCUGUUACAUCGCAGAAUUAACUCAAAAGUCACAACAUACUUAAUUUGCACUUUGUAAUUAUGUGAACCAAUAUAGCAAAACCAAACCAAUUUGCUCCCACUUAUCUAGGCUAUACUUAACACAAACAAGUUAAGUAUAAGUUAAUAUCAACUGUAUUAACUAACAGUCAUUGCAAUACACUGAAUGUCUUAUCAAUGUGAUCAAUUGCCGCAACCAAUAUGCAAACAAAUUUCAUGAUCACAUUCAUUCAAUUUGUAUUUACAACAAUGUGAUUUUACUUGACCAGAACAAACACAUAAAUUGAUUUGCUCCCACUAUAUCAAGUUAAGUUUAGUUCCGGCAAAUAACACUAAACUUCUCAUUACUUAAACAAAUUAAGUAACAUAAAUAAUUACCAAUUGCUUCAAUAAAACCAUAAUCUAGUUUUCAAGCAUCCAAAUGAAUUAUAAUGGCCGGCCUAAGUAACCUUAUGCUUACAUUCGAACAUAUGAUUCUCCCACUUAAGCAUAAGCAGAAUGUACUGCACAGCCAAUAAAGAAACCGGAGAUAUGAACCAAUUGAUUCCCGAUUCCUUACCAAUUGCAUAAUCUCAGUUUAGUCAAAUACACCUAAACCAUUAUGCAAACAGUCUAUGUAUCAAAAGAUAGUCACAAUCCAUUCGGAAAAACUUAUCUCACAUAAACCCAAAAUCACCAGUUUCAACAAUGAUCAAAAUCAGAAUAGCAAGCACAAUAUUCUUGCAUUCAAUUUGAUCCUAACUAGUUCAAUACCCAUCGAGCAAGAUCAACUAAAAUUUGAUAAUGUCUGGAUAUAAAGGCACAAGUCAUCUUGAUUAAAACAAGAUAAUCAAGAUCUCAACCUCCCUUUUUUUUUUUUUUUUUUUUUUUUUUUAAGGAACUUAAGAUAAUCGUCCAAUAAAAUUUAGUGUACUUAUAGAUUUAAUACAUAAUAUCAAAUCUCUUACACUUACACUUACAAUAUAUCAAGUGAGAUGAGUUUCAGAAUGCAUUCUUGCCAACAAACAACUUAUAUCAUUUCAUACAGGUACUAACACAAGAGCCUUCACAUGUUUUUAGUUAUACAGUGCACAUAUUGGCAUUAACAAACCCAAAGAUUCUGAACUACAUCAUUCACAUAUAUGGCAACACCCCCAAAAUCUAUUAUAUGUAGUCUAACCAAAAUUGGAAUAUGAAUUACACUCAUAAUUUUAAAAACGUCAUUAUGGAUACUCGUAUAAUCCAAUUUUGCUUUUCUAGAAUAAUUCAAACCAAUCAGACCCACAUAAAAGCCACAGGUAUUUGGUAGCAACAAUAAGUCAAAUUCUAUUAUCAUAAUUCAUAAUGGAAAAUCAUGAAUGCAAGCUUCUAAGUUUCAAGCAAGUUAAUGAGAAAUCUUACAUCUGCUUGAGACAACAAAAUAGCUACAAAACAAUAUUUUCCACCCAAUCUAAUUACACAAGCUCUAACUCAAAAAUAGAAGAGCAAUGUGUACAUCAAAUAUUAGUCUAAUGAAUCUUUAUGCAGAAAGAAUGAUUCCAGUCAUCUCACAUAAAUCAUAAGUUGGCAUCUAUAGGGAUUUCGAGUUUAAUCGUGCCUUCACAAAAUAAACAAGCAUACUCGGAAUAGCAAAAGCCCUAAUUCAUUAUGCUCAAACUCAUCGCACUAUAAUCACGCAUAUAGGAGAACAAUUAAUUAUGCAUGAAACAGUGAACUGAGUUACCUGAAUGCAUCAUUGGACUCAUAUUCGACAACCCGAUCGCAAUUCCUCGGCUCCAAAUCAAUGAAACAAAUUAUCCAUCAAUGCUCAAGACCCAUCCAUACGGAUUGCCAUUACUCCCAAUUCCCAUGGACCUCGUACCAUUGCAAUAAUAGAAUGACGAACGAGUUAACGUCAAUAUGAAGAACCAGAAUAAUAAUAUAAUCUCAAUAUGCAGAUAACAUGAUCUUUGUUCAAUGGUUUUUAACAACAUAAUUAGUUGAUCAUAAUACAUCUUUAUUCUUACAAAGGAUUAAGAAACCACAAUUACCUCAAUCUGUAGAACUCAUAAUAAACACAGCGGAAGCAAUAAUUCUCAACAAUUAGAACUAUGAUGUUUAAGAUAGAUGUAUACAACUAAAUUACUAUACUUAUCAUCAAAUAAGCAAAUCAUGGAAAAAAAAUUUUCUCAACCCCAUAUUGACAAAACACGAGUUUCUCCCUUUCCAGACUAAUCACGGUCAAAAAUUGAACUAAAGGUUAUUUCUUAAACGGUGUCGUACCACUCGCCUUUAAAAACCAAUUAAACAGACUUGUUCUUCAAACCAGUUCGUAUGCUGCAGCAAUCAUAUAAUCCUUAGACACCAAAUAAUGGUGUCUCAUAUAUGUGAUAAACAGUUUAAAACGAUCAAAGUUAAAUCAAGGUCCAAAAUUUGUAUUCAAAACUGAUAUCUUUAAUAUGUUUCUGCAGCAAUCAAUUAAAACAAACUGUAGCGACAAAACUCAUUCAUAUGCUCUUAAACAUACACAGGUAUCAGAGAGAAUCGAAAGCAUCGAAAGCACUUAUCUCCAUACCUUUUAAUCACUGAUUUCAAAUUCACGAAAGGAACCGCGGAAGCGAUUUAGAAUUUGAAAAAUAGAAGAUUUUAACAUUUUAAGGAAAAACCCAGAUCGAUAUUCAUUGAAGGAAUCAAAACUGACCGUAAUCUGGGAAAAACUCUCAUUCGGCAAUGGUUUAUAGAGCCGUUAUUUAUUUAUUUAUUUAUAAACACAUUCGACUUUUCUCCUUUACAGAUUUGAACUCAUGUUUGUGUCUUGCGGCUCUGAUACCACAUGUAAGAACUUGUUAACAAACAAACACCAAGACCAAAACAUGAACCACAAACAAAAGGAAACCAACCCAGUUAUGUGCACAUAAAUAACCAGAAAGGAAAACAUACCUGCAGCUGCACCAGAACUCGUAGCCAUUGCAGCGAACUUUCAGUGAUCCUUCUCUUCUCUUGCAGAUUGUCAAGAGCUCGACUCACAGAUAGGUUAUGGUCCAAUAUGAGCGUUAGUUCUGUGAGAAGAGAGGUCACUAUAUAUAUACAUAUAGACUUCACCAAAAUAGAUCAGGAUUUCCUAUCAAAAUCCUCAUCGGAAACAAACACUUGUUUCCUGAUGCUAACCAAAAUCCUUUUCAGUCAAGGAUCAGCAUUCCUUUCAUCAAUAGGACUUUCUAUCCAAAUUGAAUACCUAUAACCUGUCCUAAAACUUCUCUAUCUCAUACUCAUAUUGUUUGUACCAUACUUGACCAAUCCCGAAACUACCGAGCACCGGCCAACGCUAUACUGUCAAGGACCCAGAAGAGUUCCCCUCCGACCAGGAGGCCAAUCACUACUCGACACGUGUCAAGAUUAGAAGCCAAUCAGAGCGCAGCACGUGUCGACAUCAAGAACCAAUCAUAACAUGACACAUGUCAAUGUGACAAAGCUACAAGUUUUUCUAUAAAUAGGGGUCAUUCCCCCACAAUAUGGCCUAAUGCCAUUUGUGUUAAAUCAUUCAUAAGAACUCACUAAAUUGAGAGCUUGAUCCUUUGUACUUGUAUAAGCCCUUCACUACUAAUAAGAACUCCUCUACUCCGUGGACGUAGCCAAUCUGGGUGAACCACGUACAUCCUGUGUUUGCUUCUCUGUCUCUAUUCAUUUACGUACUUAUCCUCACUAGUGACCGAAGCAACCAAGCGAAGGUCACAAAACCUGACACUUUCUGUUGUACCAAAGUCUUCGCUGAUUUUGUGCAUCAACAUUUGGCGCCGUCUGUGGGAAACGACACUUAUUCCUACUCUCUUCAGCUGUGUCAAGCUGGUUUCUAUCAUUCGUACACUUUCUUUUGAUCAGGCAUCCCUCUCCAGCAUGGGAAGUGAAGGAAGCCACAGCACACAGAAUGACACCCCCCUUGCACAUAGUGCGAAACAACGAAAGAAGGAAGGAAAACGAGUUCUUCUUCAAGCUAAAGUCGAUGAGUUGGAAGCUCAGAACAACAAGAUAGCAAUGAGGAAUGAGGUCCUCCAGGAGCAAUAUGAGAAGCUCUUCGAGACACUCCACGAAGCUAGGCAAGCUCAGACACGCGAGCUUGUUGCCCCCGUGGAAGUCAACCAUCAACUGGGUGCCCUCCAACAUGGAGGGUCACAUGCAUUCGACAUAGAUAUCCCUGAUAGGGAACAGAUUACCCCUCGACUUGAUAAUCAACAUGAGGCUUCUCUUAACCCAGUUGCUUCGACCCGAACCAUGAGAAGUGGAGGGAGACACCUCUUUGCUGAAGGGGCAGAAGGAUCGAAAGCCGUCUUUCGCGAUUGUCGGGAUUUCCUGAAGCAACGUCGAGAGAAUUCCAUCCAUAUAAGCUCAAAGAUUAAUGACCCAAGGAUUUCUGAGAGACUCGGUCCCCUGCCACGGCCCAAGCCGGCCACCAAUUUGGGGAAGGGGCAACAAGUCCUAGAGAGACAUGAGGGUGCAGGGGACUCAGAGGUGUUCCGACAGACAUACCCUGGAAGCCAGUACAGCGAGUCCAGGGAAAAAUCACAUGCCCUUGAUCAGACCUUCCUAAUUCCAAGAGGAGAUGGAGAUUUACGAAAGAAAGCUCCAGUGACACAUAACUCCGCUCAGGACCCCCUUGUCCUACAACUUCUUGAGGAAGUAAACAAGUUGAAGGCUGAACGUCAGGCUGAAAUACCUGACUGGAACCAACCCAGGCCUGGCCCUCUUACAAGGAGGAUCCUCAACACCCCCCUUCAAGCAAAAGACAAAGCAAAAGCUUGGCUUGCAACUUUUAUACUGGAAAAGAGGACCCGAUUGAGCACCUUAACCUCUUUGAAUCCACCAUGGCAUACCGGAUGCACACCGACGAAGAGCGAUGUCUUCUCUUCCCCUCCACCCUCUCUAGUGGAGCUCUAAAUUGGUAUUGUCGUCUUACACCUGAGACGGUAGACUCAUUUGAGGAAUUGAGGAAACUAUUUGUUUCCCAACACAUUUUCCAAACCGAUCGCUUGCACUCUGCAGAUGACUUGUACACUAUCCGCCAGAAGCCAGACGAGUCAUUACGUAUGUAUGCUGGCCGCUUCAGCCAUGAAUACUCCCGGUGUGUCGAGGCAGAUGACAAGACUGCCCUCAAAGCCUUCACGGCAGGCCUACGUGAUUGUUUCUUUAAAUACAUGAUCAAUGCCAAUACUUGGAAGACUUACUCUGAGGUGAUGGCGCAGGCUUAUAACCAUGCCUCCGCCGAGGCAAAGACAUAUCAGGAGAAACCCCCUACAACCAUCUUUUAUCAACAAGUGGGAGGUGGAAGCCAGACUCACCUAAAUGAGAAGACCUCGACUUUCCAAACAGCAGUGGCACCUCCCCAUGCCUUGCAUAAUGCUUCACCGAAUCAACAGACAUAUCAAUUUCAAGGCAAGAGGAAGGAUUUCCAUCCUCACCACUCUCCUUUCAGUAAAAAGAGUAAGGGACACUAUCCCGAUAACCAAGGGUAUAGCCACAAUAACGCUCGCCCCCAGGCAGUCAAUGCAGUGGGUCAAACCCGCGUCAAGAUACCCCCUACCCCAAGGUAUGAGACAUACACGCCCUUGAAUGCCACAUGCGCGGCCAUUUACCCCAGCAUAGCUCACCUGAUACCAAAGCGAAAGCCGAGGCACCCAGAUUACAUGCCCCCGAAUAACGCGGGCAUGUUUUGUUGCUACCAUGAGCAUAACGGCCAUGAUAGCGAGAAAUGUAUCAUCCUCCGUGAUCGUAUUGAAGCUUUGGCACGAGAAGGAAAAAUUGAUCAAUUCCUUCUUCACCCUCAAAGGGAUAACCGUAACCAACGCCAGGUGAAUGUCAUAUAUUCCAUAAGUGGUGGCACAUCCAUAUCUGAAUCUUCCAAUAGGGCCAUGAAAAACAGUGAACGAAGUCUGAGGCCUGGUCACCAAGUGUUUCACGUGGAAGACAUCAGGGGAGGGAAGUAUCAAAAACCUAACUGGGAUCCGAUAUGUUUCUACCCUGAGGAAGAAAGAGGCAUCAUCUACCCUCAUAACGACCCAUUGAUCGUGGAGGCUCACAUAGCCAACUUUGAUGUUCGACGAAUCCUCGUAGACACAGGGGCUUCGGUCAAUAUCAUGUUUGCCGAAGCUUUCAGGGCACUCAGUGUAGCUGAACACUUGCUCGAUCGCUCGAUUUCUCCUCUGAUAAGCUUCUCCGGUGAUAUCGUGCAACCCUUAGGGAGCAUACAUUUACCCUUUACUAUUGGUACAGGCCCUUACACGGCUACCAUUACCACUAACUUCCUAGUGGUUGACUGCCCAACGGCAUACAAUGUCAUCUUUGGGCGCACAGGCAUCAAUGAUCUCAAGGCUAUGGUAUCCACGCAUAUGCUGUUGAUGAAAUUUCCAACCCCCCAUGGCAACGGCUACAUCAGAGGAGAUCAGCUUAGUGCACGAUCAUGUUACAACACUUCAGUUAAGCAACAACACUUGCCCGGACCCAAGGAAACCAUGUCUGUACAUGACCAAGUCACAAAGACCAGCCUAGAUGAAGCGACCUUGGAUCUUCCUGAUAGCAACAAUCAACCCGAUGAUCCUUGAGAUGACUCUUUCACCCAGCAAGCCCAACCUGCUGAAGAGUUGGAGAAGGUACCUAUCUCAAGAGAUCAUCCAGACCGCAUGGUGAAUAUUGGCACCACAUUGUCACCACCCAUUCGGUUAGCAUUGAUAUCUUUUUUGAAAGAGAACACUGAAGUCUUCGCCUGGUCAUACGAGGACAUGCCAGGCAUCUCUCCCGAUGUCAUCUGUCAUCGUUUGAGUAUUGACCCCAAGAUCAAGCCGGUGAGACAGAAGCGAAGAUCUUAUGACGCUGAACGAUACGAGGCAAUGAAAGCAGAAGUUGAAAAACUCAAAGGCAUAGGCUUUGUCCGCGAGGUCAAUUACCCGACAUGGGUAGCAAAUGUGGUCCUUGUUAGGAAAAAUCCGACCAAAGAAAGUCUUUCACUUCAAAAGGUCUUGUGGAGGAUGUGUGUUGACUACACCGACCUAAACAAAGGGUGUCCGAAAGAUAGUUUCCCUCUUCCUCUUAUUGACAGGCUUAUAGACUCUACGGCAGGGUGUGAGCUCUUGAGCUUUAUGGACGCUUAUUCAGGAUACAACCAAAUCCUCAUGAACCCCUCAGACCAAGAACACACGGCCUUCACUACUGACAGGGGACUAUAUUGCUAUAAAGUCAUGCCUUUCGGCCUAAAGAAUGCAGGAGCAACUUAUCAGAGACUGGUCAAUUCAAUGUUCGCCGAACAAAUUGGUAAGAACAUGGAAGUUUACGUUGAUGAUAUGCUAGUCAAAAGCAAACAUGCUGACCAACACAUCACCGACCUAUCUGAAACUUUCACCAUUCUAAAGAGGUAUCGAAUGAGGUUGAACCCCAACAAAUGUGCCUUCGGCGUGGGCUCUGGCAAAUUCUUAGGCUUCAUGAUUAGCCAACGAGGCAUUGAAGCUAACCCUGAAAAGAUCAAAGCAAUCCUCGACAUGAAAGAGCCAAUAACUUCAAAAGACAUCCAAAGCCUUACUGGCAAGGUGGCAGCCUUAACCAGAUUCAUCUCUAAGGCCACAGACAGAUGUGCUCCUUUCUUCAAAGCACUCAAGGGAAAUAAGAAGUACAUUACAUGGACGGAGGAAUGUGCCAAGGUAUUCAGGAACCUCAAAGAGUACAUGAGUAAAGCCCCUAUGCUCUCCAAACCAGAAGUUGGUGACACUCUCAUCAUCUAUCUAUCGGUUUCGGCUUCAGCAGUCAGUUCUGUUCUUAUUCGAAUGGACAGUGGUGUCGAACGGCCCGUCUACUACGCUAGCAAGGCCCUACAAGAUGCGGAGACACGAUACUCCAACAUUGAGAAAUUAGCUCUAGCAUUGGUCAUGUCUGCUCGGAAACUUCGCCCUUAUUUCCAAGCACACGCCAUCAUCGUGCUUACCAAUCACCCUCUUCGACAGAUACUCCAGAGUCCUGACACGUCUGGGCGAAUGAUCAAAUGGGCGAUAGCAUUGGGUGAGUUUGACAUCUCCUACCAACCAAAACCAGCCGAAAAAGGUCAAGCAGUAGCAGAUUUCAUCGCCGACUUCACAUAUCCUGUUGACAUUGCUUCUACACCUGAAGCAGUAGCUUCAUUACCAUCGGAAGCUCAGAAAGUAGAAUCAACGACCUCAGCAUGGAGUCUGUAUGUUGAUGGCUCAUCCAACCAACAGGGCUGUGGAGCGGGACUAGUCUUGACUACGCCCGACAAAGUAGCAAUGGAGUAUGCUCUUCGUUUCAAAUUCAAGGCAUCAAACAAUGAGGCCGAGUAUGAAGCCCUUCUAGCAGGAUUACGUUUGGCCAAACACCUCGGGGUUAAACAAAUUGAUGCUAAGGACAGCUCCAUGGCAGCAUAUCUUGCGCAAACACAACUUUUGCUCAAGCACUUCCACUACCAGAUCACCCAAGUUCCUCGAGCGGCAAACAGUCAUGCAGACGCCCUGGCUCGCCUCGCCUCAGCUGUGGAAGACAAGAUUGGAAGAAAAAUUCAUGUCGAACUGUUGGCAACACCAAGCACCAUGGCCGCAGAAGUAUGCAACUUACAACAGGGGGAUAGUUGGAUCACCCCGAUCUAUAAUUUCCUUGCUCAUGGCACCCUCCCAAAUGAUAAAGUCCAGGCUAAGCAAAUUCGAUACAAGUCUACCCGCUACCUGAUCAUCAAUGAUCAACUCUAUAAGCGAGGUUUUAGCCUGCCAUACUUAAGGUGUCUUACGCCUGCCGAGGCGGAAAUCGUCCUUCGGGAAAUACAUGAGGGAGUCUGUGGAGAUCAUGCUGGAUCUCGGUCCUUAGCACACAAGACUUUUCGCCAAGGAUAUUACUGGCCAACACUCCACCAGGAUGCCAUCAAAGUAUCCCGCUCAUGUGACAAAUGUCAACGAUAUGCAACUAUUCCUCAUUCCCCUCCAGAGCCUUUUACUCCUAUGAUCAGCCCUUGGCCCUUCGCCUAGUGGGGACUUGAUUUGAUCGGCCCAAUGCCGGCAGGGAAGGGCAAAGUCUGUUACGCAGUCGUUGCAGUGGACUACUUCACAAAGUGGGCCGAAGUAGAACCCUUGGCAACCAUUACUGAGGCAAAGAUAGAAGACUUCGUGUGGAAGAACAUCCUUUGUAGAUUCGGCAUUCCCAAUGCGAUAGUCACUGACAAUGGGCGACAGUUUGACAACAAGAAGUUCAGGUUGUUCUGCUCUAAGUUCAACAUCAACUUAUGCUUUGCCUCUCCAGCUCAUCCCCAGUCUAAUGGACAAGUUGAGGCCAUCAACAAAAUAAUCAAGCGCACUUUGAAAACCAGCUUGGACAAAGCUAAAGGCUGUUGGCCAGAAUUUGUACCCCAAGUUCUUUGGUCAUAUCGCACUUCAUAUCGCACUUCAACAGGAGAAACUCCAUUCUCACUUGCCUUUGGCACAGAGGUGGUUGUCCCUGUUGAGCUCGAGCAAGCAACAUUCCGAGUCCAGAACUACAUUCAAAGUGAAAAUGACAAACAACUCACCCUCAACUUGGAUUUAGUCGAGGAACACAGAAACCAAGCUCACUUGAGGAAUGUCGCCUACAAGCAGCGCAUCUCCAACUAUUAUGACUCUAGGGUCAAGCCUCGUUCUUUCAAAAUAGGAGACUGGGUCUUAAAGAAAAGAUUACUCUGCGACAGAGUCCCGAGUGAAGGCACACUUAGUCCAAACUGGGAUGGACCGUAUGAAGUCAUUGGCAUCAGUCGCCCUGACUCUUACACACUUAGAAGCUCCGAUGGCAAGACCCUUGGCCAUCCAUGGAACGCUGAUCACUUGAAGUACUACUACAAAUAGACUCACGAUGUACAAGUGUUGAGCUAUAGCCGUUCGGCAUCCUAUGUAAUGAAGGCCAUUUGGCAAUGAAUUCAAUAAAGAGGUAAUUUAGCCAACUCAGCCCUCACUCUUUUACAUUCAUAGCAAGCGAUGCCGGAACCCUUCUCAAUCAGAAAGCAAUCCGUCUUCCACAGUCACUACAAAACAAGCAAAUGAAGACCGUGUCAAGCGCCAAAAAAAAAAAAAAAAAAAAAAAAAAAAACAGCUUCAUCCAAAAAGCUUCACCCGAAAAGCUUCACCUCCAAAGCUUCACCCACAAAGCUUCACCUAAAAAGCUUCACCCAAAAAGCUUCACCAUCAAAGCUUCACCCAGAAAGCUUCAUCUACAAAGCUUCACCAUCAAAGCUUCACCUCGAAAGCUUCAUCUACAAAGCUUCAACACCAAAGCUUCACCUACAAAGCUUCACCUAAACAAUCUUCACCUAGAAAGCUCCCUCUACAUACUUUCAUCUACAAAGCUUCACCAUCAAAGCUUCACCCAGAAAGCUUCAUCUACAAAGCUUCACCAUCAAAGCUUCACCUCGAAAGCUUCAUCUACAAAGCUUCAACACCAAAGCUUCACCUACAAAGCUUCACCUAAACAAUCUUCACCUAGAAAGCUCCCUCUACAUACUUUCAUCUACAAAGCUUCACCAUCAAAGCUUCACCUAAACAAUCUUCACCUAGAAAGCUCCCUCUACAUACUUUCAUCUACAAAGCUUCACCAUCAAAGCUUCACCCAGAAAGCUUCAUCUACAAAGCUUCACCAUCAAAGCUUCACCUCGAAAGCUUCAUCUACAAAGCUUCAACACCAAAGCUUCACCUACAAAGCUUCAACACAAAACCUUGCUCCAAAUAAACAAAUUUUGUUCACAAAACCCAAGAUGCCCUUGAACUUGUACAAAAACACUUGGGUAAACAUAAACAUUUUUUGUUUUACACCCACAAGGGCCCAAUAUUUUCCUUCUUAUUUAUUCACUUAUAUAUGUUCCCAAACAUAUUAUAAUAGAUCCAACAACAAGCCAAAGUCCCAAGUUUCAUAAUGGACAAAAGUACAAGCAAUUCAUCAAUAAUGAAGGUGCUACAAAAAUUGGAAUCUGCCCCAAAAUAGAAAUCCAACCCAAGAGACUUUUUCUCUCUCUCCCUCUUCCGCCUCCUUUCAUCUAUCACAUUUCUGCAACCUCUGCUCUUCUCCAAUGGAGCUGAAUUUUGGACACCCUAUAGUUCUUGAGCAUAUGAACAACUUUCAAGAAGGAACCAUUUCUGUUUGAGCGACGGAAAUUAAAGUGUUGAAGCUCCAAACAUGACAGUCGGAUUCUUGCAGAUUUCGAAGCUGCUGUGAUGUUUCGAAGAUCUGGAAAUAUUUAACCAUUAGUUCAUUCUGAAUUUUUGAUAUGUUAUGAAAGAGACGAUGAGGAACAACGUCAAUGAAGAAAGCAUGCCGAUCUGAACAAUAGAAAAUGGAGUUUCGAAGCUCACAACAAAUCUGACGGGUUGACAGAAAAAUAAUAACCAGUCAUUCAUCAUACCUGGAUUUCUGGAGUUAUACUGCUCCGAGGGAUCUCAAAUUUGGAUAUGUUGUAGUUCACGAGCUGAGGAACAACUUCAAUGAAGAAAGCAUACCGAUCUGAACAAGAGAAAAUGGAGUUUCGAAGCUCACAACAAAUCUGACGGGUUGACAGAAAAAUAAUAACCAGUCAUUCAUCAUACCUGGAUUUCUGGAGUUAUACUGCUCCGAGGGAUCUCAAAUUUUGAUAUGUUGUAGUUCACAAGCUGAGGAACAACUUCGAUGAAGAAAGUAUGUUGAUCUGAACAAGAGAAAAUGGAGUUUCGAAGCUCACAACAAGUCUGACGGAUUAACAGAACAUUGAUGAACAGUUACUCAUCAUACUUGAAUUUCUGAAGUUUUACUUCUCCGAUGGAUCUCAAAUUUGGAUAUGUUGUAGUUCACAAGAUAAGGAAAAACUUUCAUGAAGACGACUUUGCAAUCUGAGCUAUAGAGAAAGGUGUUAUCUUGCAUCCACUCAGGCUGAUUAGUGGAAACGAAAAGUAAUUCCACCAAAGAAAAGAUGAAAAAGAGAGAAAAGCUACUAAUUGCAUUUGAUCUUGUCUAGUCAAUAGCAUGCAGCAUCAAACACACAAAAGUUGGAAAUAUUUUUAGAUAAAGCAUAUACGAAUGUGUGACAUCGAAACAAGGAUUCGUUACUUUGACAAAUUAGUAACACGCGAGACACCUCAUUCGGCAACUCUCUUCACCUGAAGACUUGGGGGACUCCCACCAUAUGCUACUGCACCUUGAUACUUGGCAGUCUCACAACCACUCAGUGACUUGGAUUUUUCAAGUCUCCAACCGAGAAGUUUUCCUCACUCGGGAAAUUAAGGGAACACUACCUCAAACUACAUGCUUCACUCACAAAGCUUCAACAAUACAGGUUUCAACAAAAGCAAAAAUUCAAAGAACUUUAUGAAGAAGGCUUUGGUGUAUUUAACACAAUAUGUUGAAAUGAAGCAAAGCUUAUUUAUUAAUAUUUUCGAUAAGCCACAAAUAUGUACAUAUACAUGAGUCAAAAUAAACAAACAAAAGGGAGCCUUCACAAAGGUUGCUUAGGGGAAGUCUCAGCAGUCGGUAGAGCCCCAGAAAGAGAAAGCACCGGAGGGUGGUUAUCCGGAGCCUCAGUACUUGACAAAACCCCAGAAGGAGGAGGCAUUGGAGGUUCAUCAUUUGAAGCUUCAUUACCAGGUACAGCCCCAGAGGACGAAGGCAAUAAAUGCCUUUGGAACAAACCCACAAACCGCUGAUGAUCAAGUAAAACCUUACCAUCAGAUUCCUUCAUCUGGUCAAGCUUCCUCUUCAUGUUUGUAGCAUAGUCAUGGGCGAGCCGGUGCAACUGCUUAUUCUCAUGCUUGAGCCCUCUAAUCUCCUGUUUGAGACUCAUCACUUCAGCAGCCAAUGAUUCAACUUGGCGGGUUCUAGCAAAUAGGCAUUGGGCCAUAUUAGACACAGAACCUGCACACUGAACACUAAGAGCCAGAGAGUCCUUAACAGCCAACUCAUCAGACCGUUUGGAAAGUAGUCUGUUAUCUUUGGGAGUGAGAAGGUUCCUGGCCACCACUGCAGCGGUCAUAUCAUUCUUCAUCAUAGAAUCCCCAACGGUAAGAGGACCAGUAGGGGAUAUGAAGGAUGGGCGCCAUAUGUUGUCUGGAGAAGGCGUGGCUGUCUCUUCUCCAAGGUUCAAGUCAAAACGACGGUCGGAGGGUCCAGACAUUUUCAAAUGUGUUGAAGAAGGAAGAGGUCAGACAAAUCAAGAUCUUAGAAAUGCAAGAAAUGAGCUUCUACUGGUAGAGAUUCAAGUGUGCUGUGGAACUUAAUGCCAGCCUCUAUAAAAAUCUGCACUCGACGGAGCUUCAGAAAUCGAAGAGGCAUUUGCUUUCUCAAAAGCUGGGCUGCUCAGAGACCACGAGGGCCGAUCUCAGAAAUCGAAGAGGCGUUUGCUUUCUCAAAAGCUGGGCUGCUCAGAGACCACGAGGGCCGAUCUCAAAAAUCGAAGAAGCACCUGCUUUUUCAGCCUCGUCAGCACCUGUCACAUGCACAAUCAGCUUUGCGGAAAUUACGGGCACUCUGUCGAAGAUUUCUGGUGAAGUAGAAAGCACGUGAAUCUUACUGUUCAAUCACCGCUCUCCAUAUGCACCAUCAACUCCUCGGGUACCACAUAUAACUUUGUCGAAGAUCUCUGACAAAGUUUAGGCAAGAGAAUUUCGAAGUUCCAGCUACCCUACUAUUACCCAUAAGGGUAAAGGAACAGCACCACUGCUUGACAACUGGAAAGUCCCUAUGUGUGUCGACCUCCGUGUUUUGCGGCAAGACAGGUUGGCAAGAACGUCCAACCUUUACUCACAUUCGAGAAAAGACUCCCAACAUAAUUACUUUCUCAAAAACCGGAGUAGCACCGCUUUCCGAAUCUCGAGAGUCAGAUCCUCGACGGGAUUGCUUGUUCGAAAACCGAAGAGGCACAACUCUCAGAACUUCGAGAGCCAGAUUUCCUUAGAUAGAGCUUGUCUGUAAUCUUCACACGUAACAUCAGCUUUCCAGAUACCACAUACCACUUUUUCAAAGUGCUCUGACAAAAUUAAAACACGUGAAGCUGGCAGCUCCCACUACAUUGCUGUGACCAAGAAGGGUAAAGGAAUAUCAUUACUACUUGUUAUUGGGAAAUCCCUAUAUACAUUGACCUCCCUCCUCAACGGACAGGCAAACCUGCAAAAAUGCUCAACCCUUUCUCGCAUUCGAAAAGGCACCCUCAACAUAACCUCUCGAAAUACUCAGCUUUAUUUCCCCCCGAUAAUACCUCAGCAAAUAAGCCACACCAAGAACAAGAGUAUCUCAUAUCAUCAGGGUCGAAAGCAAGAGUAUCCCAUAUCAUGCUUUCUCCCUAUCUUUGUCUUUGUCCUUGUCCACACCUGCAGGACAAGGAGAAAGAGAGCAGUCAGUCGGAACCUGAAAUCAAACCUCCAAUUUGGAACUGACUGCCUGGAGCCUUUGCCUGGUUGCUUACUUAGCAUUGCUCUCGAGUACUCAUCAUCAACUGCUGUCAAGGUCACGAAUUCCACCGGCAAAUACCUCAUGACAGUUGAUCAGAUAUUGGCUCUUUACACUGAAGCUGCCAAGCGUGGAUGAGUCACUAUGAAGGAAUGUUCUGAAGGACCAUUUAAAUGCAAAGGUUGCACACCACUUCUGCCAUGCAAAAGAUUGAAGCAGAAGGUUCAACGGUGAGCUGAAACAGAUCACUACAGCACGACACCUUUCCAUACCACAUUCAUUAUUCCGUCAACAGCAAAAGUAUCCCAUAUCAUCAAGGUCGAACGUACUCUAGAUUUGAUGGACUUGUUUUGACCCUCAAAUUUUUGAGUCGGCCUUAUACUCUGAAGGGCACCAGAAAACCCUCAAGCACAGUUCAAGAAUAAGCCUGUGGAAAGUUACUUCUUCAAAAGCAAAAGUAUCUCAUAUCAUCUCUUAUCCAUUUGCUUCUCCUUAUCCUGGCAGUUGAAUGAGAGACAAGGAGAAGGAGAACAAUCAACCGGAAGCCGAAGUCAAACCUCUGAUCCUGGGUUGUUUACUUGGAAGUUUGACUGCUUACCUUGUCUGUCACCUCUUUCGGCAAAUCUCCUAGCUCGGCGACUUGGGGGACUCCUACUAUAGGGUUUGUAUCACACUUGACUAAGCCCGAAACUACAACUAAGCUUUAAGUGAAAUUGAUACAUUACCUUGUGCGUCAACAUCAGCUAAGUACACCAUUCCCGGAUGGAGGAAAGGUACUUCCAGAGAAGGGCAGAUGAAGAUCAGACCACACUUCGGUACUUAGAAGUUUCGUGAUUACUCAAGGGAUUGGAUCUUGCAAGUCCCCAACCGAGGAGUUUCCCUCACUCGGGAACUUAGGGGAGCACUGUUUGUACCAUACUUGACCAAUCCCGAAACUACCGAGCACCGGCCAACGCUAUACUGUCAAGGACCCAGAAGAGUUCCCCUCCGACCAGGAGGCCAAUCACUACUCGACACGUGUCAAGAUUAGAAGCCAAUCAGAGCGCAACACGUGUCGACAUCAAGAACCAAUCAUAACAUGACACAUGUCAAUGUGACAAAGCUACAAGUUUUUCUAUAAAUAGGGGUCAUUCCCCCACAAUAUGGCCUAAUGCCAUUUGUGUUAAAUCAUUCAUAAGAACUCACUAAAUUGAGAGCUUGAUCCUUUGUACUUGUAUAAGCCCUUCACUACUAAUAAGAACUCCUCUACUCCGUGGACGUAGCCAAUCUGGGUGAACCACGUACAUCCUGUGUUUGCUUCUCUGUCUCUAUUCAUUUACGUAUUUAUCCUCACUAGUGACCGAAGCAACCAAGCGAAGGUCACAAAACCUGACACUUUCUGUUGUACCAAAGUCUUCGCUGAUUUUGUGCAUCAACACAUAUUCUUACAGUUCAUGAUCAUUAUCUUUGGUUGCUGCUUGAUGAACAAUUCCUGCUUAUGUUUUCUUAGUAAAACAGUUGGCUUUAGCUUAUGUGGAUUAGAUUUGUAGAGCUUGGAUCGAAACCCGUUGACACGACGUUCACAUGAGAAUGUAGGAUGGCCCCUUCCUGUUAAUUUCUUAUAGGUUAUCUGUUUGAUAUUGAUGAAACAAAGUUAUAUAGCAUGUUGCUUUAGUUAAAUCAAAAUAUGCGAAUAUGUCCCUAUAAAACUAUAAAUUUAUAAUUAAUGUUGCUGCUGUUUUCUCGAGUAGAUGAUAAAUUAUUCAGAUACUCAUAUUUUCACCUUACUUGCGAUUUGUGUGCAUGGUUAGUUCGACGAACCAUGAUGGAACACUGAGGCAGCUACUGUAUCAAGGCUAUAACAAUAUAACCAUAUAACAUAAACUAGAAGCACAAGAUAUGGAUACACAUAGCUAUGUUAGAUGAAUGGUGUAACUGACGUACCUUGCCUUGUUGCGCAAUUUUUGCUACCCACCUACAAGAAACCACAAAAGCCGCAGUUUAGUAUUGAACUCGCUGAAAAUAUAUAUCAUCAUUGCAUUCAUGUGAGUUGAACAUAUUGAUACCUUCUCCUUCCAAGUGUUGUUAACCCAUGUAAUCAUCUGCAUUUACGUUGAUACUUGAGGAGAUAGACUUGUGCUUUUGGCAUACUUUUCAUCCUUGGCCACUAGGCAAGAAUUUACUCUUACAAUUAAUUUCAAUAGGACUAGUCUUAAUUCUGGGCUGAUUCUCUAGUUGAAAGUUUUGGGAAGACUUAGAGUGGGCUGAAAUGCCUUUAGCCUUUCCAUGCCACACUGAAGACGAGUCUUACCUAGGAUACCUUAGACCUUGACAAAAAUAUACUUAACAACUUACAUAACACGAACACUGUUCUAAAAAUCCCCGCCUAGCGCUGCCUAGGCCCCACCUAGGCGCUAGGCCCCAACCCACCGCCCCGAUUAAUGCCUAGGCCCCAGCCCACCGCCUAGACCACCUAGGCACCCGCCUAGCCCGCCUAGACCCGCCUAAGUUGCAACUCACUUAGAUAGAAAAUACAUAACUUUCAUUUUGCAUUUUGUUUUUUUCCAAUAAAUUGUAAAAGACUUGUUGCAUACUUGAAUGAACAAACAUUAUAUCCUUAUUUCACAUGUUUUCAUUAUGUUCCAAUACUUCAUGAUAUAUAUGCAUUCUAUUUUGUAGUUUAUGAUGAAAUUAUAUACAUUUCAAGUAGAAGCAGACACUUAUUUACCUGAAUAUGAUAGAUUUACUUAAAUCUGCCUAGUCCGCCUAGGAGCCCGCCUAGCCGCCUAGGCGCUAGGCCCCAGCCCGCCGCCCGACUAGCGCCUAGUGACUUUUAGAACCUUGAACACGAAUAUAUAUUAUUAUGGUAAUGUCUCGCGCUAAUAAUAUAAGAACAUAAAUUGACACAAAACACCAUAAUAGUAGUACUACUCUUGACAUAUAAGUCAUUCUCCUCCAAUAUUUGCUCAUAUGGCUUCAGUGCGAAGUAAACGAUUAAGAGCAAUGAAUGCUAGUUUAACAUAAACCAUUCAGUAAGUUGGGUGAUACCAAAUAGGCUUGCAUGGGACAUGACGUGCUGUCAACACUAACUCGUACUGUUUGGGCUAAACCCAUCGAUCGAUGUGGAACGACAUCGGUCCUUUGAUCCCGUCAGUACGCAUUUGUGAAUUCAAUUAACAAAAUAACUGAUAUCCUACACUCUGCUCCUCCGUCCUUCAACAUUGCAUGGUCUCCAAGCAGAGCCGGCCCUGAGGGUGUGCAACAGGUGCCACCGCACAAAGUCCCCGAUUCGGAAGGCCCCUAAAUUUUCAUUACAUGUACGCAGAUGCAUAUAAAAUAAUUAGAUUCAAAAGAUUUGUAAACAGGAGAUAACAAAAAAGCAUCCAACGUGUAUCGAACGUAAGAACCUUGAAGGUACGAAUCCCAAUGAUAUUGUUUUGUUAUAUUUUAAGCUUUUGCAAAUUUGUAAACAGGAGAUAACAAAAAAGCAUCCAACGUGUAUCGAACUUAAGACCUUUGAAGGUAAGGAAAAACAUCUAGCUGAUCAAACAACAACUUAUUUUUGUUGCAGUAACUUGUAAUAUUUUAGUUUUAUAGAUGAAAAAAUUAAAAAAUAAUAAUAAUAAAGAAAUAUAACAUUAAAAAAAAUUGAAGGACCUCCAUCUAAGUUUUGCACAUGGCUCCUCAAUACUCAGGGCCGGCCCUGUCCCCAAGUAUGUAUUUGUGAUUCAUAUUUGAUAAAAUAACUGCUAUCCUACUCUCUGUUAGUUAGUUCUUCAACCAUGCAUGCGCCCAGGUUUAGUGAUAUAGUGCCAAGAUUAAUCUCAUAAAUCAAAUCGUGUAAAUCAUAUUAAUACUUUUUAAAAUUUCUCUAAUUAAUUCAGCUCAUUUUACAUUAGGUGAAUUACAAAGAAAGUUGAAGUUCUACCGUAAAAUUUAUUGACAAUACGAAGAGUAUCCCAACUCCUUAUAUGCACAUGCAAUGUCCUUUUUUUUUUCUUCUAUAAUUUUUUGUAAUUGGAAAAUUUGAGCCAGGAGAUUAUGUUGUGUGUGGCUGGUUAAGUACUAUAUAUUGGAUAAAACUGUACUAGUUAGCCAUUGCAGAAAAAACAGCCAAGAUCUUACACCCCUAUUUCGCACCUUUCCUAUUCUGAACACCAUGAAAACACCUCAACCUCCUCCCCCUGUUGUUUCCCGCUACUGGCAAGAAAAUGAACUCAGCCAAGAAGACAAAGACCUUAUAUCCUCUCUACCUACAGAAAAAGCUUGGGUUGCAAAUUACCUUCACAAGUACCAAGGUUUUUGGCAGGCAACUACGCACAUGCAGGGAGCUUUGGCAUGCCAGAAACACUUCCAAGCCCUAGAAUCUGAUAUCCUUCUUGUAACCACUCCCAAAUCAGGCACCACUUGGCUCAAGGCAAUUUUGUUUGCCUUAGUGAAACGAGAGCACUAUCUGGACCCUCAGCGACACCCUUUGCUCACAGAAAACCCUCAUGUUCUUGUGCCGUUUUUGGAGAUCGAUGUCUACGCUGACAUACAGGUACUUCCUGACCUCUCCUCCCUGGCCCCUCCGAGGCUCUUUUCGACUCAUUUACCGUAUUCUUCUCUGCCGGAUUCUGUCAAACAUUCCGGUUGCAAUGUUGUUUACUUGUGUAGAGAUCCUAAAGAUGCGUUUGUUUCACUUUGGCACUUUGCAAACAAACUACGACCCGUGGGUAGUGGAACCAUUUCACUUGACGAUGCGUUCGAUAAGUUCUGCCGGGGAGUGAGUGUGUCGGGACCUUUUGGGAUCACGUACUAGGGUUUUGGAAGGAGAGCUUAAAGAGGCCUGAAAGUGCAAUUUUCAUCAAGUUUGAGGAAAUGAAAGAAGAGCCCGCUCUUCAUCUGAGGAGGCUGGCCAAGCUUUUGGGUUGACAAUUUUCUCCGGAAGAAGAGACACACGGAGUUGUGGAUGGUAUCUUAAGGUUGCGUAGUUUUAAAAAUUUAAGCAAUUUGGAUGUGAAUAAAAGUGGGAUAUUGUCGUCUGGUAUGGAGAAUAGCGCAUUCUUUAGGAAAGGUGAAGUUGGAGAUUGGAUGAAUUAUUUGACCACUGAGAUGCUGAAAAAACUAAACUCUAUUACUCAAGAGAAGUUUCAUGGUUCCGGAUUAAAAGGAGUGUAUUCAAUUGAGAAUUUGAAAGAUUUUAAUGGAUUUAUAAAUUCAUGGAUUUUUAUGGAGUUUAAUUAAUUUAUAGAAAUUUCAUAUAAAAUUUUAAUUUAAUUCUCUCAAAAUCUCAUGGGGAGAUGUCAUAUUUGUGGAUGCUUAAAAUACACUAUGAAAUCUCUCAAAUUUCCUUUAAUUUCUCAACUUUAUCAAAUUAUUUAAAAUCAAUUUUUAAUUGAAUAUACCUGGAAUGUUAUAAACUUCCUUAAAAUCAUAAUUGAAUACACCCGGAUUUCUAAGGAUUUUAAUAGACUAUCUUAAAACUCUAAUUGAAUACACCUUGAAUUUCAGAUAAUCACUUAAAAUCCUGAUUAAAUACACCUAGAUUCAAUAAAAGAAUUAAAAUCCCUCAAAAUCUCAAUUGAAUACACCCCGCUCUAGGGUUUGCAUCUUUUUUCUCUGUGUGUGAGUCUUUCUCUUUGUGGGUGAGUUUUUCUUCUUGUGCGAGCUAGUUCUUCAAAUUCUAGUAAACCAUUUUGCCGCCGGCCCUAGCCAUGGCUUGAUUCGGUGGCAGCUCUUUUCCUCUUUCUUCUUCUUGUUUUUCUCCUCUGCUGCUCUCGGUUUUCCGGCCCAUUGUUUCCUUUUGUAUCCACUCCCUUAUGCCUUUGAUUUAACCAGCCUCUGCGCGCAAUCGGAAAGCUUCUUUUUCCGAUUUUCCCUUUCUUCUCUUCCCACUUAUCUAUCCACCUUCAUGCUUCGGCUCAAACCAAUUUCUUUCUCUCCCACUUGGAUUCGUCCUCUCUCUACUCCACAAUUGCUUCAAUCCGCAACCAUUUUGUUUGGUUGUGUCAAUCUCGACAUUGCUACACCACCACUUUCUUUCUGUGUGUCGAUCUCGACAUUGCUACUUGUUGGGAGUACUUUCCCUUCAUUUUCUUGGUGCUGCGAUUCCAAGUAGUAGGGUGUUUGCUAGAGGACGAUGAAAUUUGGUUCUUUUUUUGUUUCAGGGACUUGGCUAGUUCUUAUCUCUUGCGUUUACAGAAGGAUUGGUUCGUGGUCGGCGGCAAGCACUACAGGUGCUUCGGCAGCGGGAGAGAAUCCACGCGUUUAGGGUUCUUUGUGUGUUUUUUUUGUGUAGGGCUCACCUUUUAGGUUGGGCUUUUCUUCAGUUGUUUUGGAGGUCAUAAUGUUGCUGUAUGCCUUGUGUGUUUUUGGGCCUCAACUCUUGUACGUGUAGUGUGUUUGUAAUAAAAUGUUACCUUUUCACUAAAAAAAAAAAAGGUUUUAGGGUUUGCUUCUUGCUGCUUAUGACAUCUUAUUUAUUUGGGGACGGGUAGUCAUUAAUGAGUAAGAGAAAGAAGGAAAGUGUACGGUAUCAACUAGUUCCCUAGUAGUAAUAAUCAAUGACGACACAUAUCGACCAGUUACCUAGUAGUAACCCAUCUCUAUAUUUUCUAUGUGUAGCAUAGGAGAAAUCUCGAAUUAAAAUAAUAAAUACUCAUGUUUAAUAAACGUUGGGAAUAAGUCAUUAAUGAGAAUGAUUAAAUUAUUAACUCCAUGCAUAUAAGUAAAGAUAAAUUAGUGCUUAAUAUUUUUUGUCAUCCUCUCUGGAAAUUUGUAUCCUACUCUAAUGACUAAAAUUACCACUAGUUCCACCUUCCUAGGAAAGUUUGAUUACUACCAAAAAAAAAAAAAAAAAAAAAAAAAAGGACAAUAGUCACAUUUUAAAAGUAUUGAAGGAGUGAACAUAACUUGAAUCAUCGACUUUUGCCUUCUUUAUGCAUCAGAUUUGUUUUUGUUUUCUGUUUUAAGUUGGAUCUUCAAAAUCUGACUUAUACAUUUGAGAUCUCGCCUUGUUGUUCGUGGAUUUGAGUUUUCAACACUUUUUUUUCUUUUCGAUUUACUAACCCCAAUAUGCAAUUUAGGGUUAAUCUGCAUUCAUCGUGGCCUGCUUUAUUCUUAAUUUCUUCCUAAAACCCAAACAUAAUAUCAUAAUUUUAUAAUUUAAAUCAUAAAAUGUUUUCACAUACAUCAACAAACUGUUGGAAUUUUGACAAAAAAAAAAAAAAAGAAGAAGAAGAAGAAGAAAACAUACAAACUUCGAAACUCAGAAGUCGGCUCCCAGACUUGUUUCCUUCAUUUUACACUUGGUGUGACAAGCUCUUGGCUUGCACACUCUGGUAACUAGCUCUGGUUGCACAAUUUAUAUUUCCUUUUUACUCUCUCAUAUAUGGAAAGCAUAUGGUUGAAGAUAUUUUCAACCACCAAGCUUCUUCUACACGGCUCCUACUUUACAUGGAAGAGAUUAGCUCUCUCCGCCCAACUAAAGCAUCUACCCGUGCCUCUUAUACACCAAGCGUUUCAACACUUUUCAAGACAUGCCGUGUGGUAAACAGACAUGAAAUUCAUCCCCAAUCAUUGGACUAUUCUGUGAUGAUUAAUAUAUAGGUAAGUUCAAACAAGAGUACGUAAUGCAAAUAUCCGGAAAUGAAUAAACUUUUUAAUUUCAUGGAAAUGAACUUGUGUUUAUUAUGCAGCAUGUGCUAAGUUUAACAUUAACGUUGCAUCAGUAUGAGUUUGCAACACUUGAGUUUAUUGCAGGCAGGUGCACUCUGGCCUCUCUCUCUCUCUCUCUCUCUCUCUCUCUCUCUCUCUCUCUCUCUCUCUCUCUCUCUCUCUAUAUAUAUAUAUAUAUAUAUAUAUAUAUAUAAUUGAUCCAUUAUUCUUUGAAUUGUCCCAAAUUAAGAUUCUCAAUUUAACAAAGACCUCAAUACUAAAAGUACCAGACAAGGGAAGAAUAUGAUAAAUUUCCAAUGUGUAUGGUUAAUACAACACUAUCAUAAUAUCUACUAGAUAAUUUAGGGCACUUUGAAAACAAGUUGCUCUUCUUCCAAGAUACGUACCCUUUUUGGCUUAGAAACUGCACAUGCCAUACGGCAUACACUUCCUAGAAGAAAAAAAAUGGCUGAUUUGGACACCAGUUGAAUAGGGUUCGAUUCAUGGACGUGGUUUACCCAUCCAAAUGGGGUACAACACAUAGUGCCAUAGUGGGGACAGUGCAUGGCAGAAAGACAAUGUCCGAGACUUAAUGGUUGGUCUCAAUUAGGUUUCUCUAAAUUUAAAAAAACGCAUAAUGAGUUAAAACAACGUCAUCUUGACAUCUCUAUGAAGAUGUCAAGAUGACGUUGUUUUAACUCAUUAUGCGUUUUUUUAAAUUUAUUCGCAUUAUCGUUGUACAAUUAAUUUAAAACAUUACCAUUUAACAUUUCUGUUUCAUAUAAGUCAUUUAUCUGCCAUUAUUUUCCACAAAUAGAAAAAUUGGUGGACAUAUUAAGUACUGGUUUGGUACUGAGGUGCUUUUAAAAAAAGCGGGUAUCAAAAAAAACUGGGAGCUUUUUUGUGUUUGGUAAACAUUCAACUUUAGUUUUUUUUUUCACAGUUUUGGAUGAAAAAAAGCUAAAAGUUCAAAGCAGCAAAAGCUAGCUUUGAAAAACCAGCUUUUUUGCUUCCACAGCUUCUGCGCAAACCUAAUUUGUAAGAGGCCCUGAGCCCUUUAAUGAAACUUUCAAACACCCAAAAUGACCUUAAACAAUUAAAUAAUUACACAUAAUGCCAACUGGAAAACGUCGCUGACUUCAAUUGGGAGGUCAUCCUCGUCGAUCCCGUCACAACAAUGUUCACUCCCAGCUUCAACAAUCACCAUUAUUGACCUUGAAUUCCAUACCCUAAGAUGUUGUUUCUGCCUCUGUCCUUCCUCCCAUCUCUUGUCCAUCCCCUUUCACUCCCACAUAGGCAAAAUCGCUGCAAGAAAUACCACCAUCUUUUCCAGCGAGGACCAGAUUCGGUUUUGGCAUCGUAGAUUUGCCUAGAUUCUCAAAUUGCACCGCUUACAGGCGACUGAUCUUUGUAUUUCUGCAAAGUAUGAGAGCCUAGAUUGCCUAGAUGGACACCAAAACUCAAUUAUUCCAAAUACCCAAAAUUAUAUACAGGAAACUACUUCGUAUGAUCAAAUUCACACUAUACAAUUUCAAAAAGAAAAAAUGAUUAGUCCUGAAAGAAGAAAGAAACCAGCAUCCUGGAGCGUUGGUCCAGCCCGAUGUAUAUUAUGAACUCCUUGAGCAGGUAGACCAUGUAUGUACUGCAAAUCAGAUGACAGGUGAGAGAGAUUGAAGAACGGAGUAGAACAUAAAAAAGAAGAAGGAGCAAAAAAAAAAAAAAAAAACUGAAAAAAUUGGGGUUGUGGGGGAGACUUUUAGAGAGAUGUUUUUGGUUUUUGGAAAGUCUGGUUCAGUAGUGGGUAGUGGGAGAGACUACUCGAUGCAGAUGGAGAAAAUUAAAUUAAUGGCACAUCUAGUAUUAUAUCAUUUUUUGUCAUUUCACACAAUCAUAGCUGUUUUACAUAAAAAUGUAUCAAACACUAUAAUACUGCUUUUUCUUUUUUCCCAUAAACACCUUUACAAAAAAGUUUACCAAACACUAUGCUACUUUAUUUCACAGUUGCUUAUUCUCACAGCACAACAGAAACAAUUUUUUUUCUUCAAAGCACAGCAAUACCAAACCAGCCCUAAGUUUAAUAGACAAUGACUAAUGCCCUUCCUAGUAAGUUUCCUGGUCUGGUGCGCCCUAGGCCAGUUGGCCUCUUGUGUAGAAAUCAUGAACCAAUUGGCAAUUAGUCAAGUGGCCGUCGCAUAGAUGUAGCAGCACUUCACCACUUCACCACCUCAGCCUCUCUCAGUCUCAGGCCAUCCCAUCUUUCCAUUACCCUAGAAUGGAAGACACCAAAUUUCAUCAUGCUGAGAGUACUAAUUUCACAUCGGGUAGAAGAUCUUGGGUGUGCUUAUAAAUAGUUAAGUUGAUUCCCAUAUUGCCAAUUGGUUUUAUAGUCAAACCUUAACUUUCUUCAUAUCGUCAAUGGAAAAAUAAUUAUAUCGAAUUAAGUUAGCGACACAUUCCUGAAAAAUGGAACCAUGUAAGUUCCAUCCAACACAUACAAAUCAAACGAGACAUUUUUACUGCCGGACUGGAAUUGGUGGGACGGGAAAAUGGAGGAUGAUGAGAUGGGAUCGGGCUGGACUAUGUUUUGUGGGACUGGAAAAUGUGUGUUACCAUGUAUGCCCUAACCCUAGAGAAGUAGCAAUUGACCAGAAAAAAAUAAAAAUAAAUAAAUAAAUAAAUAAACCCUAAAGAAGCAGUAGAGGUGAUACCACAUGCGAGGGGCAGGAGGCCGGCAUGAACCACAAGACACGCUUAUGUGCGCGCGCACCAAAUAUUUUUUGACUCACCAAAUAUAUUAAUCAGCAAUAUAUUUAUUAGUUAAUCAAAGAGCCAAAGGAGAAUUGUAUUUAUAUUGACCAAUAUUUAGUAAGGAAAACUAAUGAAAAAAAUUUGAAAAUUUUGAAUUUUAACGAUAAAGAUAAAGAGUAAAGUGAAUAGUAUCAGUGUUGAACAAUAAAAAUACAUGACAUAUAAAAAAUAAAAUCCAUGUAAAUUGGACCAAACUACAAGGCCAAAAAAAAAAAAAACAAAAUGUAAUCCAGCCCAAAAGAUGAGGAUGAGCCUUACAUACAAAACAACAUCCAGAAAUAAACAAAUAAAAAAAUAAAAUAUGAAUUUCUUCCUACAAAAGAGGGAAGAAAACGUGCAACACAGAAACCUCCAUCUUUGCAGGGUGUGAAAAAAAAAACUGCACAAGUUACUGGGAGAGGUUAAGUAAAAGUGGCAGGAGAUCAUGGCCUCCAACUUCCCCCACGUAGCAAAUUCCAGAGCUUUCCUAGGAUGCUUAUAAAUAAGCAUCACCUGCAGCAAGUAAAGGGGGGACAGACAGAAAAAAGGGGGGAUACUCUGCAGAAAAAAAUAGAGAAACAUUGAGAGAAAAUACCAAGAGCAACGAAGUGCUGCCAGAAAAGAGAAGGAAUUUAAUCAUUCGUGCUUUCGAAGUCAAGAACUAAGGGAGAAUAUUCAUCACCAGGUAUAAAACAAAGCCCUGUUAAAAUUAUUUUUCUCUUGAUUUUUGUUAUGUUGUAUAUAUAUAUAUAUAUAUAUAUAUAUAUAUAUAUAUAUAUAUAUAUAUAUAUAUAUAUAUAUAAGAAACAGAGAAGGGCACGAAGGAAGAAGCAACGAAAAAAUGGCAGCCGAAGACCACCAGGCAAUGGUCCAGGACAUUCCCCUUUGCUUGGCAAUGGUCCACAAUGCAAGGAAAAAAGGAAAAAAAAAAAAGAGAAGGACAAAUCAAAUUUUCUAAUAUUUCUUUUAGCUUUUUUUUUGCCUUUGUUUCUUUGUUUGGUAUUUUUCCUGCACCAAAUAGAUGGAGGUGGAGAUUCUGAACCACUAACUGCAGCAGAAAUGAUCUCCAAGAAUCCCAUGAAUUUCUUCGGGGUGGCCUAGACCACCCCGUGAAGUUCCAAUCAAAGUCUAAGUAACCCAUACUUGCCGUCCGUACAUUAUGCGACUUGAAGGAGAUGGGUUUGGCAAAUGCCGUGUUGCAUAAAGCCAGAAGAAACCCAUGCAAUUUGAAAAGUCAUCCUUUGCGGUCCAAUGAGAAAACAGAUGCAUUUGUGGACAAAUAAACAAGGGAAAAGAAGCAAAAUGCAACUUUUGCUCCCCUUGACUGACUCAUAUUUGGUCUCUAUGAAGAAAAGUAGCAAGGAAGCAACAUAUACCAAGAUGAAACUUAAGAGGAAAGAAAUUGUCGUGUUUGGUGUUUUCUUUGCUACUCACGGGUACAAGAUAUGGAGGAUGCCUUUGGCUAAAAAUCCUAUGAAAACUUAUUGGGGAUAGAGUCCAAGAAAAAGGAGAAAAUGGAAAAGAUGGUUUGUAAAGGAAAAGAAGUCCAGAAAAAGGGAAAGGAAGGAAACGUGUUGUUCAAGAGCUCCACCCAAAGUCCUUUAUGCCAAGAAUUCGAAAGAUAAGAAGAAAAUGGAAAAGAUGGUUUGUAAAGGAAAAGAACUCCAGAAAAAGGGAAAAGAAAGAGAACGUAUUGUUCAAGAGUUCCAUCAAAGUCUUUUGAGCUAAGAAUUCGAAGGAAAUAUGGAGAUUGUAAAGUUUGCAAAAAGAAAGCUACGGCAGGGAAUAAAAAAGGGAAGUUGUCUUCAAAGUUGCUGGAAAUUUGACACGAACACAAAGAAAAGAUGAGAUGAAAUGAUUGAUAAAAGCUCCAAGUCAAAAGUAAAGGAUAUAAGUAAGUUUUCAUCAAGAAAAGUUUUGUGCAGAACUCGAGACGAAGAUACCAUAACACUUUGAAGUGCCGGCUUCGCAGCUUUAAUAGUUCUUCUUUCUUAUUCCACCUACUCCUAUCUCAGAGAGAGAGAGAUGUAUCGCAGCAAAACCCAAGCAACCCAAGUCAUUUAAGAGCUCUGCUUCUAAAAAAUCGAAGAAGUCUUCUGCUUGAGAAAUGUGAAGAAAAAAGCAAGAUGGGCGACUGCUUUUAUUCCAAUUUCAAGUAUGUUUCUCUGCACAAGGAAGGAAAAAAAGUAUAUACAAUGAGUUUAAAAAAACUCUAAAGGAAGAAAAGUGUUCCAGAUACCUUUAUAAGGCUAAGUAUGACUUGGUUUUUCCCUGAUGCCACGUGAAGUCCUGCUUGGACCUAGAAAUCCAAGUCUACAAAGAAAAAAAACGGAAGGCCUGCACCUCACGUGGAGAGGAACAGAGGUUGUUGAAACUUGGAAGCUUUAAAGUUAUAAUAAAAGUGAAGCUUGCUGUCAGUCAAAUGGGUUCAAAAUCCCAUGACAAAUGGGUUUGAAAAUUCAAAAGAAAAUUAUAAAAAAAAAAGGGGAAGCUACUUCUUAAAGAAUUCCAUCAAAAGCCUUUUUUUUGGCUAGGACUUUGACGCCAUGUGAUGUCUCAUCUGGACUUGGAAAAAUCAAGUGUACAAGGGAAAGAAAUAAGAAAUUUGCUACAUACAGUUCCCUCAAAUUAAAUGGGAAGGCUAUCCACGAACCCAGAGAAAAAAAGAGUAGCCCUUCCGUAGCCCUUCCAUAUGAGUAAUAUGGGCUUUAUGAAUAUGACAUCUAUCAAAGUUAAAUUUAUUCAAGAAGUCUAAGAAGCACGGCAUCGAGACAAAGUCAAAUAUCAAAGUAAAAGUGGGUUCAUCAAUAUUCCCAUUAAAUUUACAAGAUACAAAUGACACGAAGCCAUAUCAAGUAUUAAAAGGCACGAAGCCGUGAUGAGUCUCAAAGAAUAUGAACUACGCUGGUUUGAUUCCGUUAAGGAUACGUAGGCAGUCUGAUAUCAAUUUUCAGACGCAACCAUGAAAUCAAGCCAACGAACUACGCUGGUUUGAUUCCGUUAAGGAUACGUAGGCAGUCUGAUAUCAAGUUUUAGACGCAACCGUGAAACCGAAACGAAUCCCUAGUUUAUAUAAACUAAAUUCACUCCUACUAUCAAAUACCAAAAUGGCACAAAGCCGAAGAAAAGUUUCAAAGGGCACAAAGCCGUAUCAAAUCCCAAGUGGCAUGAAGCCAAAGAAAAGUCUCAAAUGGCAUGAAGCCAUAUCAAAUUUUAAAAUGCUCCUCACCCGCAUGAGCUAAAACUGUAUAAGGUACCAACUGCUCCAAUGGCUUAAAGUCCUCGCCCGCAUGAGCUAAAACUGCACAAGGCAUUAAUGCUCCAAUAGCUUAAAGUCCUCACCCGUAUGAGCUAAAACUGCACAAGGCAUUAUUGCUCCAAUGGCUCAAAGUCCUCGCCCGCACAAGCUAAAAUUGCAACAAGUACUAAAUACCAAGGAACUACGAGUGACUUGAUCCCUCAACGAGGGUACGUAGGCAAUCUAGGGCUCUACCUAGGUGCAGUCACAAAAUCAAAUAAACAUCCAAAUCUCUAAGUUACGAUUUAUUCAUAUUAUAAUCAAAGGGUAUUCCUUUCCCAAAGGAAGGGUUGUAAUUAAUAGGCGCGUAACCUAGAAUGGGUCGAACUCGAAUUAAUAAAACCCUCUUCAAGAAAUGAACGAGGGUGAAAUCGUGUCGAGUGAAUUAUUUGUUUACAUACUGUGUACAAUUUUUGCUCAACAAUCAGGAUUGACUUUUUAAUGUAAAAAUGUGGUUUUUCAUUAAAGUGAAUAAUAUCGGGAGCUUUUCGUUAAGGUUCCCUGUUUAGUAGAUGAUUAAGAUAUAAUACUUUAUUAUGUGAAACAUUUUUUGUUGUUAAAAUAUGGUUUGCUUGCAGUUUGCCUAAUCACGUGGGAUUGGGAUGCGGACGUGGGAUGCUCAUAUCAACCAAAAACAUUAUCCCAUAUUUAAAGAGUUAUAUUAAUUAUGGAAUUUCGGCGGCUUAAUUGUUACAUAACCCCGUCUGUCCGGAAACAAAAAAAGUAGAAUAUUGCUACAUUUCUCCGGCCAGCGAAUGCUGCUAAAUUAACUUGACUAAUUUGAUUAAAAAAACCUAAUUAACAAAUACAAUGCAUGGGGCACCACUCGUAAAUCUUAGUGAUUCGUGACACGAUUGAUUCUGGAUCUCUGAUUAUGUUCAUGCACGAUUAGAAUUGAUGUGUUCAACAAUUUUUAAAUUAGUUCAUAUAAUACAUUUUGUGAAGCAGUCCAUGCUGUUUAUAUAUUGAAGUGAGCAUUAUAUAACGAAGAUCAUGCCAAUGUUGUGGAGUUGGUUGAGUAGCUUGUGUAAGUUGUGAGUGUCAAAGAACAUGUGCUUACUGUUUCUUGACAUACAGUAACUUGGUCAAUCCGAGUUAAUGGUUGAGAAAAUUAUGGAGCCUUAUUUGGUUAGGUCUAGGAGUCCUUAUUUAGUGCAAUUAAUUAUGAAAACCUUAUUUAGUUGACAAAGAGUUCGUUACCAUUUAGGACUAUAAUGAAAUCCUAAUGGAUAUGGAAUAUCCCUUUAAUCAGUUAAUAGGCCGGAUUAAAGGGAUGAGCGUCUAUAUAUUAGGAGGUCCCUGCACUCACAGCAUCAUCCUAUUCUAGUGCAAAACCCUAUUUUUGUGCACAAGGAAUCUCGGCUGCUAGAGUGUAGAAGUUCCUCCUUGAAACCCUAGCAGUCAUGGCUUCUUCUUCUUCCUCCACUUUGGAAGAUAAGUUUAUUUCCCUUUUAAUUGUUUGAUUGGUUUAUUGUAGUUAUAUUUGUUUUAUCUGUGAUUCUAGUAACUUGUUGAUUUUCAGAUUACAUCUUACAGGUGGUAUCAGAGCCUCUCAACUCGCCUAGAAUUCAGAAUUUCGAUCAUGGUUGGUUUUGAAUAUAUUGAUACAAAUCUGCUAGGGAAUUUGCAAAGCUUGGGGGUUCGGAUUAUUGGUAAUCUAUUUGAACAAAUUCUUAACAAAUUAAAGGCAUAAUUAUUUGUUGUUUUGUUUAAAUGUCUUUUACUUGUGGAUCCUGAGGCUUCCGCUUAAUCUUAGAAUAUUUUUGUAAUUGCUUUUCUAACUACAGUUUUGUGGCAUGAAUCACAAAGAUUCAUGGCAAAAUUUAUAUUGUGAAUGACUGUUGACCAACAUGUUCAAUUAACUUUAUGAUUUAGAUGCCAAGUUACAUCAUACGACAUAUUUAUAGAUAAGAUGUAUGGUGGGUGAAAGAUACAUUAUUCCAAAGAUUUUGUAGUUUUUAGUAUUCCUUUUCUAUCACAUGAUAUCUCCGAUGGAGUAAAUUUGUUUGGUUGAAGGAUCAGAGAGCUCUAGUAUGCUGCCAUGGUUCAUUACCCAUGCACUAGGGUUUAUGCAUCGAGCUUGAACCCCAUUAUGAAAAGCUUGCUGCCAAGUCUUGCAUAAUGAAUUAUUUGCCAUGCUUUAUUAUGGGUUGAGCUUUACGAGAUUUGCAUAUCUUGCUUUAUUUUGAUUGGUAGUGUUAGUGUUGGGUUUCCUAGGGCUCGCCCAAAACCCUAGUGAGCAUAUCCCGUUCAAAGGUGAGAAUAAAUUUUGACCCAAUGGAAGUAAAAUUAGUAAGUUUGCUCAUAUUUUUUGUUGUUGUCUAAAGCAACCUUUUGAAAUUAUUUUGAGUUGAUGGAUUGAAUUAACCUUAUGGAUACUGACUUCGUGGGUGAGCCAUUGUAUAGGAUUUUCAUGAUUUAAAAUUCUGAAUUUGGAUACCAUGACACUAACAUGUUUUAUGCAGGCACACGUGUUCAUUCAUAGCUUAGAUGAAUGUGUGAACUCAUUCUGCAGGAAUUAGAAAGGUUUGAGAUCCCUUUCAAUUCUCAAAUCUUGCGUCGUAAGGAGCUUGAUCUAUAUACACAUAUUAAUGCCGUGGCCAUUUUGGUGUCACUUUUAAAUUGUUUUCUAUCUUAAAAGGAGAUUUUGAUAUAUCACAAUGGACAUGCUAAAUGUUGUUUUAAAAGAAAAAUGAAAUUUUAGUAAAGUUAUGAAAACAAGACUAGCUAUGUUCAUGUAGUUUAGCAUACCUUGCAAUUUGUUCUAUUUUAGUUUCUGAUUUUGAUAGAUUUUUCAUAACUCCAAAUUUUAUGAAAUUUGAUCAUGUCAUAAUAUCAAAUGGAUUGUAGACGUUGGUAUUUUUUUCACGUUUCUAGACAAGAAAUGGAUUUAUGGUAAAUUUUUAAGUUUGAUACCAUAUUGCUGGAAUUCUGCAGACUUCCGCAGAAUAGUCUGCUUGUGAUAUUAUUUUGACAUAUCUAUGUGACUCAUAAAUUCAUGAAAUUUUAGUAUGAUAUACAUUGAGAUAUUUAUUUCAAAUCUGGAAAUUUUGAAGAGCAUUGGUUUGAAAAAGAAUUAUUGGUGAAUUUUUAAUCUCGGGACUGUCCUGCAGAAUGUAUGCGGUUUCUGCAGCAAAUUCCAUUUCGAUUUUAUUUUAACCCACUUUUAAAAUCGAAAAAAUCACGGAAUUUUGGGUAACAAUAAAUUUACAUGUCUACUUUAUUUCUGAAAACUUUCAUACACAUUGGAGGAAGAUUGAAGUUUUGGUGAAUUAUUUAGACUCGGGUAUGUUUUGCAGAAUUUCUGUUGUUUCAGCAGCACAACUUAUUUCAAAUUUGUUUUUAGUACACUUGUAAAAUCUCAAAAAUUAUGAAAUUUUGGGAAAUAACAGAUUUUUAUGUUUACUUUAUGUCUGAAAAUUCUGAUUCAAAUCAGUUGAACAAUGAAUAUUUGGUGAAUUUGUAAUCUCAGGUAUGUACUGAACAUUUUCUGCUGUUUCGGCAGCACCUCUCUUUUCGAAUUCAUUUUUGGCUCACUUAUAAGAUUUUAAAAAAUCAUGAAAUUUUGCAAAAUAGUAGUCAUAUAUGUCUAGUUCAUACCUAAAAAUUUUCAUGACAAUCUAAAGAGAAUUGAGUGUUUGGUGAAUUUGCAAACUAAAAUAGUACUGCUGAAUUUUUUGGUACUUCAAAACUAGUUUUGUUAUGUGAUAUUGUUUCACUAAUUUGUGCACAUCUAUUGGUACCGGUUAUUAUACAAGUUUAUGGUUCCAAUAUGUCCUUAUUUUAUGCAAAUUAUCAACACUAAUGAAUUUUAUAGACAACACUGAUUAAAUUUUGAUUUAAAGAUGUAUUGGUUUGUUUUGCUUAAACCAAUGUUUUGUUUGGUCAUCAAUUCUGAUUAUGAUGAUAAUUGUCUUUUGAGAGAAAAUUGGAAAGUGGCAUCAGUUUACUAAUUGAUCAUUUUGGUCCCUAUCGAACAACUGAAUAACCAUGUUUCCUCUUUCGAGAACUCUAUUGUUCAAUGUCAACAACGACAUACUUUUGUGUCUGAUUGAAUUUUUUGAGAAUCAUUGAAUAUCCAACAAAACGGUUAUUUAAUACUGUUCUAAAGGAUUAUUCUGAAAAAUCAGAAUUCUAAUUUAUAUGGUGAAUACUUUGUCCCAAUGGGAAUUUCAGGAAAUCACUCACCAAUUAUAAAUUAGUAUUAUAGCAAAUCAUAAAGUACUUCUAACAUAUUUUCAUCUGGCCAAAGAUGUUGAAGCUAUAUGUAUUUUGUGUAUUUUAUGUUUUGGCUAGCUAUGCAGGUAUUUUCUUUGCAUGAUUAGUUUCUGCCCAAAGGUGUAACAAUCAUGCAAUUUGGAGUUGGUUCGAUCCUCCACAACUCACUACUUCCAUGAUGAAUCUUGCAGAAUCAAGAAUGAGUAGGUAAAUUUGCCAAUCUUUUUCCUUAAUUUUCUGUGAGUUCUAAAUUGGAUUAAAAUUAUUAUUAAAAAAUUGAUGUUGUUGAGAUGUCUAUGUGUUUACUUUAAUCGACUUUGUUUUAGAAUUAAAACAUAAAUUUUGAGUUUGGAUUCUCUUAUUAGGUUUCAUUUUAAUUUAUGAUAUAAUAUUUAACACAUAUGUGGGUCUUCUCUCAUACACUAAAAUAAAUUUUGUAGCCAUUGGUUUAUCUAAUCACUUGUCACUUUUAGAUCAAUUAAUAAUGUUGAGAUAUUGUUCCUUAUAUAAGCCUAAUUUUGAUACAUAUAGAUUGGUUUAUUAUGUCCAAACCAACUAUUUUGUGACUCAACAAAUUUAUUUAAGAAAUUUUUUUUUUUGUGUUUUGAGCAUUUUAAAGAUUGUAAAUUGGUUUUAUUUAAAUUAUGAUUAAAUCUGAAAUUGUGGUAGAGCUUGGGAAAUACUGCUGCAAUUUUGCAUACCUUGCAACGUGUCCUAUUUGAUUACCAUUUUGAUAGAUUUUCUAACUCCAAACUUUGUAAAAAUUUGUCAUCUUAUAUUAUAUAAUGGAUCGUGUAUGCUAUCUUUAUUUAUUCAACUAGCCUAUAUUUUGUUAUAUGAAAACCACUUUCUCUAGUGUUUAAUCUUGCAAUUUUGAGUGUUUGCCCAAGUGGGAGAAAUAAUGUAUUAUGGGCUUCACACUCAUCAAUUUUGCAUGCUUUUAAUGAUCAUAGUUUUGGUAGAUAAAACGUACAUUAUCAUACUUGUUUAUAUUUUAUUUGUUACAUAUGCAACUAAUCUUGUAGGAAAUUCAAGAAGGGUUAAUGAGUAUAUUCUGCUCAAAAGUGUUUUACUUAUUAAUUCUUAUAUGUUGUUCAAGAAAUUGGACUUGUGAUUUAUAUGUUAUUGAUGAAUAAUUAAUCUGCUCAAAAGUGUUUUCUUAUUCAGUACAAAUAUAAAUCAAUGUAUAGUGAAACAUGAAAUUGACAAGAUUGCAUAUACUUCAUCUGCUCAAAAGUGUUGAAGUUAUAUAUGUUUGCCCUUGUAUUUUGUGUUUUAGCUAUGCAAACCUAAUAUAAUUAGUUUCUGUCCAAAGAUGAUUCUGGAAUUAUAUGCUUUUGAUGCAAUCAGAAAACGUUCCGUUAAAGUUUUCUAUUUCUGUCAAAUGUUAGAUGAACAAAACGGACCAAAUGAUUUUGUAUAGUUUUCAGUCACAAUAGUCACUUCCCUACAGAUAUCUGGAAUAAAGAUGUUGAGCUCACAAAUUUUAAGUUUUAGAUCCCAUGACUAAUGUCUUGCUAAUGGGAGUAUUGGAAAGGUAUCUUUUUCAUUUUGUAGACAUUUACAAAGUUUUUUUUUUACUCUCUUAAUCAGUGGGAGUAAUAAUAAUUUAUAUAAUUUUGUCUCUUUUAAUCAGUGGGAGUAAGAGAUUACCUUUUGUGUUUAAAAUUUGAAGUGUUAGUGGCUGAUAUUUUAAGAGUUUUUGUUUAAGUUUUGUUCAUAAGUUUAAUAAGAGGUCCUAAUUUUGUAAAUAGUAUGUUAUAUUUUACUUGUCCUCUUAUCAUAUUAUAAAUUGACAGAAAAUAUGAGCCAUGCUUGCAUGAGGCUCAGUUCAGGAGUUGAUCUUUUUCUUAUCAACCUGAAUUUAACGAAUGAUGUCAAGCAACAUUGUGCUCGUAAUUUGAUAUUCGUGGUAAUAGAGUAAACAUGUAGAAGCAAUUACAUGUUAUUUUCUAUAAUCCAAUAUUUAAACUACUAGUGACAAGUUGUUAAAGGUAUAGUUGCAAAUUUUGUGGGACUCAGUGAUCACCUACCACUUAGCCAAAUAAGGAUCAUGUUCUUGGACACUCAAGUGGGAGAAUGUAAGUUGUGAGUGUCAAAGAACAUGUGCUUACUGUUUCUUGACAUACAGUAACUUGGUCAAUCCGAGUUAAUGGUUGAGAAAAUUAUGGAGCCUUAUUUGGUUAGGUCUAGGAGUCCUUAUUUAGUGCAAUUAAUUAUGAAAACCUUAUUUAGUUGACAAAGAGUUCGUUACCAUUUAGGACUAUAAUGAAAUCCUAAUGGAUAUGGAAUAUCCCUUUAAUCAGUUAAUAGGCCGGAUUAAAGGGAUGAGCGUCUAUAUAUAUUAGGAGGUCCCUGCACUCACAGCAUCAUCCUAUUCUAGUGCAAAACCCUAUUUUUGUGCACAAGGAAUCUCGGCUGCUAGAGUGUAGAAGUUCCUCCUUGAAACCCUAGCAGUCAUGGCUUCUUCUUCUUCCUCCACUUUGGAAGAUAAGUUUAUUUCCCUUUUAAUUGUUUGAUUGGUUUAUUGUAGUUAUAUUUGUUUUAUCUGUGAUUCUAGUAACUUGUUGAUUUUCAGAUUACAUCUUACAGCUUGUGCCGUGCAACCAACCCAAACAGUAUCAGCAAGGACGGCUCUAGGAUCUAAACUUAGAGCGACCUGAACUUUGAAGCCAAAAUCUAAGAACAAACAUUUAAUAUCGUUGUUUAGAGAAAAUUUGGGCAUAAAAACAGGUAAGAAAAGAGAUCGACAUAAAAAGAUUGAUCUCGGGGUUUUUUUGAGUGUUUGUUAAUAAACUUAUAAUAUGGCAGGCAUGAAUUUUUAUGAGGUAGAAGAGACGAGACAAGUUUAAUUAAGAGAGGAGGAGAGAGGGCGAAAGACCAAAAGAGGAAGCAAAGAGAAAAGUUGAUGUCUUUGCACGUGCAAUGGGAAUAAUUUAUUAUAUUUUAGGCUGAAUGGGUUGGAUUUAAAGGUGGCAAAUCAGCCAUUGAAUUGCUAAUAGGUACUCGUCAAAAUCCGUUUAAUUUAAUAUAACUAUAAUAUAGAGGUGAGAUCAGUAGUGAUGAUGAUGGUGUAAGGUGAAAUCAAAUUAAAUAGGUCUUAAUGGGUACCCAUUAACAACUCAAUGCGUUGGUUUGCCACCUCUAGUUGGAUUGGUAUAACUCAUGUGGACUAGAUUGGCUAAUGUUCCUAUGUUAUUUCUCUUCGGCUCAAUUUUCGGUUGGGCUACAUCCCGUCUCAGGAUCUGCAUUUCAGUUGAAUAUUGCACACGGUGAUGUUAGAGAUAAUAAAUUUUUAGAUUAUUUUUUGUAAACUAUAUGAUGUGCUCUAUAAAAAAUGAUCUAAUAAUUUGAUUUCCCUAGUAAUAGAAUGGAUGUACAAAUGCUAACUAUUACAAGAAAACGAAGAUAAACAAACGACAUACCAGUUAUUGGUUCAUUGUUCAAUGUUAACAAAAAAAACUGAUAGAAGGAAAAGAUUUCAAACUUUCAUAAGGAAAUUAAAUAAAGAAGGAGACAUACGAAAAAAAAACAUAUAAAAAGGAUUGACACUAGUGCACUAGUGAUCUUUUUGUUUUCUGACUUGCAAUUUUCAUUUAUGGGAAAACUAAUGAAAAUAGCUUGAAAACAUUGAAUUUUAACGAUAAGGACAAAAUAAAGGGUAAAGUGAAUAGUACCAUGAUUGAUUUUUCGUAUAAAAAUUUGGUUUUUCGUUAAAAUGAACAGUACUGGGAGCUUUUCGUUAAAGUUCCCUUUAUUUAUUCGUAUCAUUAUCUGACAAGUUGUGUAAAAAUGUUUUUUAUAUAUUAAUACUAGCGUUAAUGAGUUAAAUAAUUAGUUUAUAAGAGUGGAGAAGUCGGUGAGGAUUGAACUUGCAUUAUGAUGCAUAAGUAUAAUUAUUUUUUGACACUACAAUAAAGCAUCAUCGGUUGUAAAUAUGAUAUCUUUACAACAGUCAAAUUAGAAGAUGGAUAAUUCAAAUUUGAGGAAAUAAAAAGAAGUAUACUGCAUUUGCCAACUUAACUAAGCUCAAACAUAAGAAAAAUAUUAGUCCGAAGGGUUAAGUAAAAUCACUUAUUCGAAAGAAAAAAAAUGGAGCAAUUAAAAUUGCUCCGAGUAUUUUUAAUUCCAAUGUAUGUGAAUUUCCAUGUCGUAUACAAGGACGUAUAUGUGCAAUGUAUUUUCAUAUUAAUCAAUUCCUCUAAACAUUAGGCUUAUUUAUUGAUUUGUCCAGUGAAAAUUGCAAUUUAGUCUCAUUCACCUUUUAAAUCUGGUUUCGUUUCACUUUGUCAUUUGAAAACUGUCAUUUUCGUCUAUUUUGUCAAAUAAACGUUACAUCCAAUGAUACAACUCUUCUCCAAGUUUACAACGAAUUGUCAUCGUCGCCAAGAAGAUUAGUUGCCGUCUGAACUCAAGGGCUUGAUUUGCAAGCCUUAAUUCCUUUCUCCUUUUUCACUUUAACCCUAAUUUGUUUUCUUACGUUUCUUGCCAUAAUUAACAUUCGACUUAGUAAAUAUGUGGUGAAGAACCAAAAUUCUCACAAAAGUGUCACAUCACCAAGCAUGUGAUAUCUUUGUUUGUGUCAAAAAUAAAAUGCACAUACUAUUCUUUCAUUCAACGUCUGUUUAACAUAAUGGACGAAAAUAAAAUGAAUAACAAUUUACAUAGCACGAAUAUAUUGUAACUGUAAUAUCUCGUGCUAAUAAUAUAAUAGCAUAAGCUGAUACGAAACACCAUAAUAAUGGUAAUACACAUGCCAUUUAAGUCAACUCUCCUCCACUAAACAAACAUUUAAGAACAAUGAAUGUUAGUUUAACAUAAACCAUUCAUUGAGUUGGAUGAUACCAAAUAGGCAAAAAGAUUUGGAAUCAAACUUGUAGGCCAUCGACCCUUAUCACGUUAAUAUUUUACGUUUACGUGUACCUAACACUUAUAUAUAUAUAUAUAUAUAUAUAUAUAUAUAUAUAUAUAUAUAUAUAUAUUAAAGAAUGUUAUGUGAAGCUUGAUCCAAUGAUGGAUUGCUCUUUGAUCCAAUAUGUGUAGUCUUCUUAACAUUACUCAACAUAUUGUACUUAAAUCAAUAAAUUUUGAAAGUAGACCACCAACUCUGCCAUUGAAAGAGUAAAUUGUAGCAAUGAUCCUUCAACUUUAACCCAAUUGGAGCAAUGGUCUCUCAACUAAAAAUCCAUUACCAUUGAUUCUUCAACUUAUCAAAACGUGCAGCUAUGGUCAUUUUGGUCAAUUCCGUUAGAACUUUCGUCAAAAUGAGUCACGUAUCAUGCACGUAAGGCUAAAUCAAGAGGCAAAUAUGGAAAAUCAAAUAAGAAAAAUUAUAUAAAUGGUCCCUCAACUUUAACCUAAUUGGAGCAAUGAUCCCUCAACUAAAACUCAUUUUGACAAAAUUCUGACGGAGUUGACGAAAAUGACCAUAACUACACGUAUUGAUAAGCUUAGGGACCAAUGGUAAUGAAAUUUUAGUUGAGGGACCAUUGCUCCAAUUUGAUUAAAGUUAAGGGAUCAUUUCUACAAUUUACUCCCACUAAAAUUAGCUUUUUAAUUUUUAAUAGAUAUGAUUCCAUCCAAUAUCUUCAAUUAUUAGCAAAUUAGCUUUUCGAUUGAAAUGAUUCCUUGCAAUAUCUUCGAUUAUUGGCAAAAUGUCUUAUGUCAAACGUAUGCAGUAAAUAAACUAAAUAAAGUAAUCAAUUUAUGGUUUUUUUUAACAUUCAUUAAACAAACUAAAGUCUCUAAUGACAAGAUGUGCCAUUUGAUUGUGGUUAGGGUGGACGGCAAAAGAAUACAUAACAAUUUACAUAGCACGAUAUAUUGUUACUGUAAAGUCUCACGCUAAUAAUAUAAUUAAGAACAUAAAUUGACAUGAAACAACAUAAUAGUGGUAAUACUCAUGCCAUAUUUGUGAUACCAACACUCUAGCUGAUCCCGUCAGUGCGUAUUUGUGAAUUCAGUUAACAAAAUAACUGAUAUGCUACACUCUAGCUGCUCCUCCGGUCUUCAACCAUGCAUGUUCCCCAAGUAUGUAUUUGUGAUUCAUAUUUGACAAAAUAACUGCUAACCUGUACUUUCUGUUCCUUAGUUCUUCAACCAUGCAUGUGCCCCAGGUUUAGUGAUGAAUACCGUGCCAAGAUGGCAAGAUUAAUCACAUAAAUCAAAUCAUUUCAAUCAUAUUAAUCCUUUAGAAUUUCUUUAAAUUAAUAUUGCUCAUGUUACGUUAAUUAGGUAGAUUAUGAAAGAAGUUGAGGUUCUAUCAUAAAAUUCAUUAACAAUAUGAAGAGUAUCCCAACUCCUAAUAUCAUUAUAUGCACAUGCAAUGUCCUUUUUUUUUUUCUUUUAUAAUAUUUUGUGGUUGGAAAAUUUGAGCCAGGAGAUUAUGUUGUGGCUGGUUGAGUACUGUAUGUUGGAUCAAACUAUAUAUGCUAGUUAACCCUUGAAGAAAACAGCCACGACCUUUAACACCCCUCUUCUGCGCCUAUCCUAUUCUGAAUAUACCAUGAAAACACCUCAACCUCCUCCUGUUGUUCCCCGAUACUUGCAAGAAAAUGAACCUAGCCAAGAAGACAAAGACCUUAUAUCCUCUCUACCUACAGAAAAAGGUUGGAUUGGAAAUAGCCUUCACAAGUACCAAGGUUUUUGGCAGGCAACUGCGCACAUGCAGGGAGUUUUGGCAUGCCAGAAACACUUUCGAGCUCUAGAAUCUGAUAUCAUUCUCGUUACCACUCCCAAAUCAGGCACGACUUGGCUCAUGGCAAUUUUGUUUGCCCUAGUGAAACGAGCGCACUAUCUGGACCUUCGGCGACACCCUUUGCUCACAGAAAACCCUCAUGUUCUUGUGCCCUGUUUGGAGUUAGAUGUCUACACUGACAAACAGGUACUUCCUGACCUCUCCUCCCUGGCCCCUCCGAGGCUCUUUUCGACUCAUUUACCGUAUGUGUCUCUGCCGGAUUCUGUCAAACAUUCCGGUUGCAAAGUUGUUUACUUGUCUAGAGAUCCUAAAGAUGCUUUUGUUUCACUUUGGCACUUCGUGAACAAACUGAGACCCGUGGGUAGUGGAACCAUGUCACUUCACGAAGCGUUCGAUAAGUUCUGCCGGGGAGUGAGUUCGUUCGGACCCUUUUGGGAUCAUGUACUGGGGUUUUGGAACGAGAGCUUAAAGAGACCUGAAAGUGCAUUUUUCAUCAAGUUUGAGGAAAUGAAACAAGAGCCCGCUCUUCAACUGAGGAGGCUGGCCGAGUUCUUGGGGUGCCC
rnacentral:lncRNA from 1 species